rnacentral:rRNA from 1 species
AUACGGGGGGUGCAAGCGUUAAUCGGAAUUACUGGGCGUAAAGCGUACGUAGGCGGUUGGUUAAGUUAGAUGUGAAAGCCCCGGGCUUAACCUGGGAACUGCAUUUAAAACUGGCGAACUAGAGUUGAGUAGAGGGGAGUGGAAUUUCAGGUGUAGCGGUGAAAUGCGUAGAGAUCUGAAGGAACACCAGUGGCGAAGGCGACUCCCUGGACUCGAACUGACGCUGAGGUACGAAAGCGUGGGUAGCAAACGGGAUUAGAAACCCUAGUAGUCC